rnacentral:rRNA from 1 species
CCUACGGGCGGCAGCAGUGGGGAAUAUUGCACAAUGGGGGAAACCCUGAUGCAGCGACGCCGCGUGAGUGAAGAAGUAAUUCGUUAUGUAAAGCUCUAUCAGCAGGGAAGAAAAUGACGGUACCUGAGUAAGCAGCCCCGGCUAACUACGUGCCAGAAGCCGCGGUAAUACGUAGGGGGCAAGCGUUAUCCGGAUUUACUGGGUGGAAAGGGAGCGUAGACGGCAGUGAAAGUCUGGAGUGAAAGGCGGGGGCUCAACCCCCGGACUGCUCUGGAAACUGUACGGCUGGAGUGCAGGAGAGGUAAGUGGAAUUCCUAGUGUAGCGGUGAAAUGCGUAGAUAUUAGGAGGAACACCAGUGGCGAAGGCGGCUUACUGGACUGUAACUGACGUUGAGGCUCGAAAGCGUGGGGAGCAAACAGGAUUAGAUACCCUUGUAGUC